AUGGCAUCAGGCGCACGGAGGGAGCUCUUCUCCGUCGGUGUGAUGAACAACGACCGUGAUCUCCGUUCCACAUCGUCACCAGCUAGCAAGAUGAAGCGUUCUGUCACGAUUAGGCCGAAGGCUAUGCUUAGCGUCGUUCUUGCUGAAGCUGGUUUACCUGAGGUGAAGUACAAGACCUACGCAUCUUACCGUGGCGGUGUGGCGGCUACUGCUAUCUUCUGGCCAUCACAGUCGCGUUCGUCUACAGCGGCAGAGCAUAUGAGGAUCAAUGGCGACCCAGCUGUGGAUGCCAAUGAGGCCAUGCAAAAUGCCGCUACAUGGUGCUUGGAGCAUCUUCAGGCCACCAUGGGUAUUGAAUUUGACUGCCCUCAAAUGCAGAAGAUUAAGACCGAGAUGAAGUACCUAUCGAGCAGUGUCGACGAGAAGGACAGGAAUAUCAGAGAUCUGAAGGCUAAGGUGGAAAAAAGGAAUAUGUGGGUCAACGGGCUUACCAAGGGCUGGGGUUCACUGGCAGAUGACCUGCUAGGUUCUGCAUAUGAUCAAGCUUUGCUUCCGACUGGUGCUUCGGUAGUUCUACAUUUUUUAUCAUGGCUGAAAAUGCAUUCCACCGUGUAG
rnacentral:rRNA from 1 species